UACGAAGGGGGCGAGCGUUGUUCGGAAUUACUGGGCGUAAAGGGCGCGUAGGCGGCCGAUCAAGUUAGAUGUGAAAGUUCUGGGCUUAACCUGGGGACUGCAUUUGAUACUGAUUGGCUUGAAUUCGGGAGAGGAAAGCGGAAUUCCCAGUGUAGCGGUGAAAUGCGUAGAUAUUGGGAGGAACACCGGUGGCGAAGGCGGCUUUCUGGACAAUCACUGACGCUGAGGCGCGAAAGCCAGGGGAGCAAACGGG
rnacentral:rRNA from 1 species